CGAGACUCGAGGCGAGGGCGGGUGUGUGGUAGCGGCGGCCUCGCGGCUUGGCUGUUACGAGGCCGGCGGCGUGGCUGGAAAGCUGUGACUUCGUUUUUUCACCCCCCUUGAAGCCUGGCCGGGCUUAUUCAGUGCAGGCUGUCUGCGCCGUCCCAGGCCCGCGGCAACUCCUCGCCUUCGUUCGUGCUCUUCGCCGAGCGGCAAAGCGGGAGUGGUGUCCCCGUUAACCUGGCGUGCUGAGGGGUUAACGGACUGCGUCAGCCUAACAGCUUGGACUGCACAAGGUGAACGGGUCUCAGAAGGAGGGCCUGGUUUUCUCCCAUUUGGAGAAUUAGCUGCCGAAAGAUUUUUCCUGGUAUUUCAAGAUAAGUUUUGUUAUCGUGGCAUAUAUCAGCUAUACACAAUCCCACACAUUUUCCAGCUGUAUCCAGAAAAGAGGAAGAGGUUGACUGCUCGGUCUACUUCAUUUGAAUAUAAUGAACAACUUCUUCAAUAGAGUUUUGAAGGCUUCUUGUGAAGUUGCCUGACUCUGUUUCACUAAUAUAUUCUGUUUCUGGUACUGAUUUUUGUAGAAACUUUUCUAUAUAUUUUAUGUCAUUACUGCUUCAUCAAGUAUGC
rnacentral:lncRNA from 1 species